AGUGAACGCUGGCGGUAGGCCUGACACAUGCAAGUCGAACGGCAGCACAGUAAGAGCUUGCUCUUACGGGUGGCGAGUGGCGGACGGGUGAGGAAUACAUCGGAAUCUACUUUUUCGUGGGGGAUAACGUAGGGAAACUUACGCUAAUACCGCAUACGACCUACGGGUGAAAGCAGGGGAUCUUCGGACCUUGCGCGAUUGAAUGAGCCGAUGUCGGAUUAGCUAGUUGGCGGGGUAAAGGCCCACCAAGGCGACGAUCCGUAGCUGGUCUGAGAGGAUGAUCAGCCACACUGGAACUGAGACACGGUCCAGACUCCUACGGGAGGCAGCAGUGGGGAAUAUUGGACAAUGGGCGCAAGCCUGAUCCAGCCAUACCGCGUGGGUGAAGAAGGCCUUCGGGUUGUAAAGCCCUUUUGUUGGGAAAGAAAAGCAGCAGGUUAAUACCCCGCUGUUCUGACGGUACCCAAAGAAUAAACACCGGCUAACUUCGUG
rnacentral:rRNA from 1 species